rnacentral:rRNA from 1 species
AUUGAACGCUGGCGGCAGGCCUAACACAUGCAAGUCGAGCAGAUGAAGGGAGCUUGCUCCUGGAUUCAGCGGCGGACGGGUGAGUAAUGCCCAGGAAUCUGCCUGGUAGUGGGGGAUAACGUCCGGAAACGGGCGCUAAUACCGCAUACGUCCUGAGGGAGAAAGUGGGGGAUCUUCGGACCUCACGCUAUCAGAUGAGCCUAGGUCGGAUUAGCUAGUUGGUGGGGUAAAGGCCUACCAAGGCGACGAUCCGUAACUGGUCUGAGAGGAUGAUCAGUCACACUGGAACUGAGACACGGUCCAGACUCCUACGGGAGGCAGCAGUGGGGAAUAUUGGACAAUGGGCGAAAGCCUGAUCCAGCCAUGCCGCGUGUGUGAAGAAGGUCUUCGGAUUGUAAAGCACUUUAAGUUGGGAGGAAGGGCAGUAAGUUAAUACCUUGCUGUUUUGACGUUACCAACAGAAUAAGCACCGGCUAACUUCGUG